GGGUUCGAUUCCGGAGAGGGAGCCCGAGAAACGGCUACCACUUCCAAGGAAGGCAGCAGGCGCGCAACUUACCCUAAUCUCGAUUCGAGGAGGUAGUGACAAGAAAUACCGAUGCGGGACCCUACGGGUGCCGCGUUCGGAAUGAGUACGAUUCGAACCACCUAACGAGGAACGAUCGGAGGGCAAGUCUGGUGCCAGCAGCCGCGGUAAUUCCAGCUCCAAUAGCGUACGUUAAAGUUGCUGCAGUUAAAAAGCUCGUAGUUGAACGUUCGGGUUCCGCGGGACGGGGCGCCCCGCGAGGGACGGCGCGCCCGGGGCUCGUGAUAUCUCAUCUCGCCGCCCGUCGCGAGGCGGACGGAGGGGAUGGAUGAGGUUACCGUGGAAAAAAAUCGGGGCGAUCUAGG
rnacentral:rRNA from 1 species